AGGUGCUGCACGGCUGUCGUCAGCUCGUGUCGUGAGAUGUUGGGUUAAGUCCCGCAACGAGCGCAACCCUCGUCCUUAGUUGCCAGCAGGUUAAGCUGGGCACUUUAAGGAGACUGCCUUCGUAAGGAGGAGGAAGGUGAGGACGACGUCAAGUCAUCAUGGCCCUUAUGGCUAGGGCUACACACGUGCUACAAUGGGGCGUACAGAGAGUUGCGAUACCGCGAGGUGGAGCCAAUCUCAUAAAGCGUCUCUCAGUUCGGAUUGAAGUCUGCAACUCGACUUCAUGAAGCUGGAAUCACUAGUAAUCGUAGAUCAGCAACGCUACGGUGAAUACGUUCCCGGGUCUUGUACUCACCGCCCGUCACACCAUGGGAGUUGAUUUCACCCGAAAUUGGGAAGCUAACCUUCGGGAGGCUACCACUUACGGUGGAAUUAGCGACUGGGGUGAAGUCGUAACAAGGUA
rnacentral:rRNA from 1 species